CAACCUGAGCUCAGUCGUGAUUACCCGCUGAACUU
rnacentral:rRNA from 1 species